UACGUAGGGGGCUAGCGUUGUCCGGAAUCAUUGGGCGUAAAGAGCGUGUAGGCGGCCCGGUAAGUCCGCUGUGAAAGUCGGGGGCUCAACCCUGGAAUGCCGGUGGAAACUGUCGGGCUGGAGUCCGGAAGAGGCGAGUGGAAUUCCUGGUGUAGCGGUGAAAUUCGUAGAUAUUCGGAAGAACACCAGUGGCGAAGGCGGCUCACUGGCCCGAUACUGACGCUGAGGCACGAAAGCGUGGGGAGCAAACAGG
rnacentral:rRNA from 1 species